rnacentral:rRNA from 1 species
UACAGAGGGGGCGAGCGUUAUUCGGAAUUACUGGGCGUAAAGGGUUCGUAGGUGGCUUGCUAAGUCAGACGUGAAAUCCCUCAGCUUAACUGGGGAACUGCGUCUGAGACUGGUGAGCUUGAGUGCAGGAGAGGAACGCGGAAUUCCAGGUGUAGCGGUGAAAUGCGUAGAUAUCUGGAGGAACACCGGUGGCGAAGGCGGCGUUCUGGGCCGUAACUGACGCUGAGGAGCGAAAGCGUGGGGAGCGAACAGG